rnacentral:lncRNA from 1 species
UUUUAGAAAGAGAGAAAGGUUAGAGAAAAAGAUGAAAUCUUCAUGAAUUCGAGAGGAUCAAGAAUCGUUGGAAAGCAAAACCAUCUCGAAGACGUUCUUUGAAAGUUAGAUAACUUCUCUUUCCUAUCUUUAUUCUUUGAUUUCUUGGUUGUAUUGAUGUAUUAUAAUAAAUGUUGGUUCUGUCUAUGUAUAAGCCAUGUUAGGCCAAAUUUCUCAUAGCUAGUUUUAGGUAAAUGAAUUUUUAGGUUUAAAUUGGUAAACACUUUACUUCUUGAAUGUUAAUUUUCACAACUAAACUUUCUAGGAUCACCGUUCUCAAUACUUUUGAAUGCUUGAUCAACAUUUGAAUGAGAUUAUGAUUUAAAUCUUUGUUGAGAGAGUAUGCUUUAAAUUAUAUCAUGCAUGUUGGACUAUUGUUUGAACACAUGAAAGUAGUCGGAUAAUAUAUAGUAGUAUAGUAGGGACGGUUGAUGAAGAGUCUUAAUGCUUUGUUUAAUUAUCCAAUUUCAAGAGAUUAGUUAUUUGUGAUUAAGUGAAUAAAGAAAAGAUUGAUCUUAAGGACAACUCGAAUAAAAUAUUUCUAAAUCUAUGUGUUUGUGUUAGUUAAUUCAAGAAUCAUGCAUUUGUGUUCAAAUAAUACCUUUGCUGGAAUCUAUUUCCUAAACAAUCUCUUAGUUGAUAACUUCAAUAUAUUUGAUCAUUUUUGCUUUCCUAGAUUAGUUUAUUUUAAGUAUCAUCACAGGUCAGUUCCCUAAAUAAUAUUGGAACAAUCUAACAGCCAAAGAUUUUCAAUAUGAAUCCCUAAGGACCAUACUUGGUCUCUUGACCGUUUUAACUAUAUUACGUGUGCACUUGCACUUACAUCAAUUAUCAAUCUAUGUGUUAUUUUUGUGCGUUUAUAUUUCAUGUUCUUGAAAUUUGUUGUAACGCCGUAUGUAACAAGUUUCAUUGUGUGUUAGAUAACUUUUAUUUAUCCGAUGUCUCAAAUCUUUCGGGUAAUCCUAGCUAAUUUGUUUAGCUCAUUGAGUAUAUGGUCACUCUUGUGUUUUUUUUUGGUCAUUUAUUUAUGUUAGGGCUUUUGGGCUUUUAGUUUUAGUAAAAAGUGAGGAGUUGCCAACAUGAGCUUAGCUCAACUGGCACCUCUAUCUUCCUGUGGAUAAGAGAUCCCGGGUUCAAAUCCCCACCUCAAUUAGGGUUGUGAUGCAUGUUAGGUCCCGGGUUCAAAUCCCCACCUCAAUUAGGGUUGUGAUGCAUGUUAAUUACUGAAGUGUUUAAAUGCAAUUAGAGUAAAGUUUGAUCCUUAUUUUGCUAUGCAUGUCUACCGUUUCCAUGACUUAGGAAGUCACAUCCAGUGUCCCUUGUUUUCAAUCGUGGACUCUUGUUUUCUCAGAGUAUACUAUCAAGAGGCAUUCUAAUGCUUUGGUUCCAUUCUAUUAAUCAACAUUGACAAAAUGAGUGAGCCCUCCCCUUUCUAGAGUCUUUCCAAGAUAUCACCUAUUGGAUCGAAGGAUGAACAAUCUCUCCUGUGUUAGAAGCCCGAACUAGUGGUGACCCUCGAGAAACAUCUUGAUUGAUUGGGACCACGAAAAAUAAUUUUGUCCAUUUAAUUUCUCUUCUGGAAAAUUCCUUGUUGAUGUUCCCAAAUAACUAAUUAUAUAAUUCAAAGGCAAAUUAUGGAACGAAGUUACCGAAUUCUUGGAAUACAUCAAAAGUCAGUUGGUUUGGAGUGUUCAACCCCCAAUCUUAAUGGAUGUAGUUAAUCUUGUAACCAUAGAAGUAUGGCUACUACUGUAAAGGAUCAAAUGACAGAGGUACAUGAACUGAUAGACUUGGUGGUCGUCCGUAACCGAAGAUCAGAGGUAACGCGUGGGGUUGUGAGCACUUUACUCAAAAGAUUAAAAAAUAUAUAGUCUACAACCAAAUUUGUAAUUUCUUAUUAAUUGGAUCUUGUGUUAUGUGUAGUGCAUAAAUAACCAUAUCUACUUUACUCAUUAUUGUUAAGUUACCCACCUUUUAUACUUCUUAUAUAUACACACACAUAUAUACUUGAUACCUAAAAAUCAAAUGCAUAAUAAAAUUUAUUAGAGAUGUAAAUUUGGUGGCGAAAUUAUCAUAUGAAAUCAAUUUUCCUCCUUAUCUGGAUUUGAGUCCAUUAAACUCCAAUGUUUUCAUUACUAAAUCAAUUCAGA